rnacentral:rRNA from 1 species
AUUGAACGCUGGCGGAAUGCUUUACACAUGCAAGUCGAACGGUAGAGGGGGCAACCCCUCGAGAGUGGCGAACGGGUGAGUAAUAUAUCGGAACGUGCCCAGUCGUGGGGGAUAACGUAGCGAAAGUUACGCUAAUACCGCAUACGAUCUAAGGAUGAAAGCGGGGGAUCGCAUGACCUCGCGCGAUUGGAGCGGCCGAUAUCAGAUUAGGUAGUUGGUGGGGUAAAGGCUCACCAAGCCAACGAUCUGUAGCUGGUCUGAGAGGACGACCAGCCACACUGGAACUGAGACACGGUCCAGACUCCUACGGGAGGAAGCAGUGGGGAAUUUUGGACAAUGGACGCAAGUCUGAUCCAGCCAUUCCGCGUGCAGGAUGAAGGCCCUCGGGUUGUAAACUGCUUUUGUACGGAACGAAAAGGCCUCUCUUAAUACGGGGGGCUCAUGACGGUACCGUAAGAAUAAGCACCGGCUAACUACGUGCCAGCCGCCGCCGUAA